ACCAUUCAUCCAUACCACUUUCUUUGUUACAUUCAGCUAUAACAAUCAGGUAUCUUUAUAGCUAUAACAUUCAGAUAUGUAUCAGUAAAUCGUAUCUUCCAUAGCUAUGUAUCUGUAUACCUAUGUAUCUGACAACAUGAGUAUAGGUAUAAUUCAGGACAGGUGAAGCAUAAAGUUACAAAAUAACAAACAGAAAAAUACAGAAAACUACAUGUUUUCUUCCUCGAUUUGUAAAUACAUGUGUUCCUCCUCGAUGCAGGGCACGGCCGAGACAACUUUGCGCUGCUCCUUGCUUCCUGCAAUGUGACCACGCCCUGCCCUAGAUACCUGUGUUCCAACUAUUACGAAACGAAUAUGUUAGACAUCAGCUUGCUUGUUUCUUUGAUUCUUCGGUGGAGAGAAACCAGAGAAUCGGUGUGCACAAAUGUCAGCCAAGGAGUAGACCUUAAUCACGCACGUGAGAGGGGAGGAGGUUCCUGGGGAUGAGCAGCCAGCCAUGGAGGCAAUAACAGGAAGGGUGGCCGUCGCCUGUGCAUCGCCUAGACAUAGCUUGGGGGAGGCUCUCUUCCUCUCGUCUGCAUCUCUUUGCUGAUGAAAUCAUGAAAGCAUAUGAUAAAUAAAUUUUAAGAAAAUAAAACAUUUCUAGACUUGAAUCCAGCGGUAAACCUACAUAUGCCAGUAGCAGGAAACCACAUGAACCGAUGCCUUGACUGCAUACCACACACCCGUGAGUGGGGAAUCAAACCAGAAAAAAAAUCAUGAGAGGUGACACAAGCGCAACACACCAACGAUGGCCGCCGCCGGAGUGGAUCGGAGAAGGGGAUGAGCCUACGGGCUGGGUGCUCCGCCCAUCGCGCUGUUUGUCGACCACGGCAGAGAUCGGGAUCCUUCUUUCUCGGCUUGGCUAUCAUCAACAACAUUAUAGUGGAACCUAAAUCUUAUAAAGUAGUAAUUCAUGGAUACUUCUGUUUUGUCACACAAACCUCUGCUUUAUAGGCAUCAAAAAACUAUAGAUACUAGUCCACAAAAUGCCUCGAGUUCCAUCCUAAUAUAUCUUCUUCAUUGGUUACACAUCAUCUUCCUCAACUAUGAGGCGGCCUUGCUUUUUACCAACCUAGAUAACCUGGAAUUAAUCAAUGAAAGCAUCAGUCAAUUGAAGCUUGAUAAUCACAUAAUGCAUGACUACUUUGAAGCAAAGGUUAAGUAACUACAGAUUAGAACAUAUCAAGCUUGACCUAUACUUUUUAACUAAUAAUCACUUUACCGGCCUCCAUGACAUAAACUGACAUGGCAUAAUGACAUAAUAACAUACUUUUUUUCUUUCUAAAUUGCAUAAUUGAAAAGAAGCAUGAACUACAAGCAAAAAAAAGAACCAAGCAUUACAUAUUAGGCAGAGCAUGUGACAUUCAUUGGCAAGCAUGCUAGUACCUUUGGGAACCAAGCAUUACAUAUUAGGCAGAGCAUGUGACAUUCAUUGGCAAGCAUGCUAGUACCUUUGGACCGCCUAUAGGUAUACUCCUGUGGGCGCUGGCUGGUGGCCGACAUUAUCAUGAGAUCAUAACAUUCUUCUCUUUUGUUUCUCAU
rnacentral:lncRNA from 1 species